rnacentral:snRNA from 1 species
GGAUGUGAGAUCAAUGUGUAUGUGACAUCUGGCACUCCAUUAAUCACCAGGGUUGAUUUGACUAAGCCAGAUGGGGUCUGCUUCCUCCCUCAUUGCUCCAAGCAAGUCCUUCACAAAGCUGCAUGCUGGGUGAAAGGUGUCCUUUCCCAGCUACAAGAGGACUGUUCUGGGAUGGACUCAGGGACCAAGCUGUGUUUCCUUGCUAGAACGUCCAAAUAAUCUUUCCAAUAUAUUCAGAACAUUCUGAGCUAGACCAUACUGUGUCACUAAGCAAUUUUUAAAGGAUUGAAAUCGUACAAA